rnacentral:lncRNA from 1 species
GCAGCAACUCUGCAGGGAAGAAUAUAGGGAAAUAAACGCCUUCAUCUCUCUCUUGUCCCACCCGCAGAGCUCCUUCUGGGAUUCUCUAUUGGCUGAACUCAGCCAGAAGCUGCCAAGGGAGACCCCCACAACUGGAUGCAGCCCACUGAAGUCAGCUUCCUGGGGUGCGUAGCUGAAGGUAGCAGGGAGCAAAAAGAAUCUGAAGGGGAAGUGAACAAUGUAGAGCGUAUCUGUGCUGAAGACGUAAGGAGAGAGUGGAGGUCAGAAGCUGGCAUGGUCCCUGGUGCAUGUAUCAGCCGCUAAAGAAGUGGAGAGUAUGAACAUAAGCAAGAGGAAGUGAUGAGUAUCCCUUCCAGGAGAACUCUAAGAGGCAGUGAGUGAUUUGCUGGGCUCCCAAGCCCUCUGCUCUGAUGACAGCAAAGCCCCAAAUCAUGGUGCCUCCAUCAGUCGGGACCCCUCAGCAGAGCCAGCUUCACAGCUGGAGUGGAUGAAUCAGAACUUUCCCCAUGGGAGCAUUUAUAAAAAGGGGACACCCAGCGCAGAAGAUGUUUUCCAGGGAGAUCUCGGGGAGCCCAACAAGCCAAGAAGAGCAGAGCAAAGCAUUCCAAGGAAGGACUCUAAGUCUGCAACCGAGCACACACGAGGGUAGCCUACGCAUGUACGUCUUGCAGUGAUGGCAAGGAGCAGGAGAAAGAAAGCCCAUCCAAACAAGCAUAUUGGAAGCCUAUGUAUCCCAUAAGCUGACAUCUUGUUGCCCAAAGCAUGUCAUGUGCGUGGUCCAGAGUCAGUGUUGAAGGGCUCUGCAAAAUCACAUGGUAAAGACUGUGGUUUCAGGGAGGAGUGAAGAUUUGUGCGCAUUGCUCCAAUUGACAACCAUGGCACUAGGCUCAGGCCACACUUCUUCCUAACAAGAGAGCAAGUCAAAGCGUGGUUAGUUAAAGUCCAUACAAAAACUCACUUUAACAGGCCUCCUCUGGAUUGAACAGCUGAUAUUAAGUCAUAAGGUACCACAUCAGAAAGAUACUGGGUAUCUUUGGUUCAGCAAUUCCAUCACCAGGGACUUUUUCAUCCUAAGGAAAUCACUGCACGGUGGACAAAGAUAUAUGCAUAAGGAUGCUCCUUCUGGCCAAAGACCAAAAACAUAACUGGCCAUCAGUAAAAGCCAACACAAGGAAAGACCAUGUGAAUACACAGCAAGAACGUGGUGCUCUGCAAGUCAGAAACAGACCCGUCAUCAGACACCAAAUCAGCCAGCACCUUGAUCUAGGAUUUCUGGCCUCCAAAACAGUGAGAAAAUAAAAUUCUGUUGUUUAAGCCAUGC